AUGAAAGAUUUACGACGAUGUAUAAUAGAAAGUUAUCAUACACCAUGGGACAUAAAAAUAAUUUUAAAUUUACAUGCAUGGAUUGUUACAUAUUAUACAAAUUUUUAUAUUUAUGAAAAUAAAAAAAGGUAUUGUAAUAGUAGAAAGUUAGGAAAUUUAUCACAUAAACGUAUGGAUUCGCAAAAUAUGGACAAUAAUGAAAUGUCAGAAGAUGGAGAAAAAAUAUUGGGACAAGAACAAGGUGCUUUAUUUAUAUCGAGAAUACAAAUGGUUUUAGGAUUACAAAUGUAUAUAGGUGAUAACAGUAUACAUACAGAAUUUUUAUGUGAAACUUUUAAUAGAUUAAUAAAAGAAGAUCAGAUGAGAAAAAAUAGUAGUAAAACUAUCUUAUGUUGUUUAAGAUGUUUGUAUGCUGAUCUCAAUUUAAUAAAUAUACAUGCUUUAUCAACUGAUGAUAAUGUGAAAACAAUUUGUAAAGGUUCAUUAAACCAUUUAUUGGAAAAAGACAUAUUAACUAUGUUAAGUUGGAUUUUAAAAAAUUUUAAAAUUGUAAGCCAUGAAAAAAAUAUAUUUAUUUAUGCAAUGAAAUGUUGUUUAUCUAUUAUAAGUUUAUUACAAAAAUUUGGUGGAUAUACUUAUAUUAUUAAACAAAAGAAUAAACGUUACGAUGUGGAUGAUGUUAACAAAAUGGAUUCUGAGGAUGAUGAUGGUGGUGGUGAUAGUAGUAGUGGUGAUGGUGAUUAUGACAGUGAUGGCAGCGGUGGUAAUGGUGGUAAAAGGAAAAAAAAAAAAAAAAAAAAAAAAAAAAAUGAUGAUGAUGAUGAAAAUACAUUAUAUAACAAUACAACAGAAAGAAUAGAUACACAAGUAUUGGUAGAAGAGAUAUAUAAUGGAAAAAUUGUCAGUACAUGUAUGACCAUUUUAGAAAAUUUUUUACGAAAUGAUAUAUAUGUAAAUGAUUUAAUUAUUACUUAUUUUGAAUAUUUAGUUAAACAUAAAAAUAAUGAAAAUAGUUUUUUAUUAUUUUUUGAUAUAAAAUAUUUUUUAAUUUUUCAAAAUAUAUUAAAUAAUGAACAAUGUUAUUUAAAUCCUCAUUAUAUAUGGAUAGCUGAUUUUUUUGAACAAUUAGUAGCUUGUUUUUUCAAAUUAUGGAAUAGUAAUAAUUUUAUUCCUAUCGAAUUAUUUUUUUCAAAAGAAGUGAAUAGAAAUAUAUCAAGUUUACUUAGUGAACAAUAUAUGUUGUCUGUUUUUAGUAAUUAUACAGAUGGUAAUGAUCUUUUUAUUUAUGAAAAAAUGUGUGAAGGAUAUACAAUGAAUGAUAUAUUUAUAGAAUUAAAUUCGAGGAAAAGAAUAGAAUCUUUAGAAUGGUCACCUGAAGAUAUAGAAAAUUUAAAAAUAUAUUUUAAACAAUUUAAACAUAUGUAUAACUUUUUACCUUUUAUCAGUCAAGUAAUAAAUAAAUCAAUAAAUACUGUUAAAAAUCAAUUACUUUAUAUGAAUUUUAUUGAUAAAAGAGGUAAUGUUAUUUUACAAGAUGACCACUAUCUAUACUCCUCCUCAUCUUCAAAAAGUUAUUCUAAAAGUAGUCUAACUAUGGAUGAACGAGUUGAAGAUAGUAGUGAUUUGGAUUAUUCAGAAGAUAUAAAUACCGACUCUGAUUAUGUAAACAGCGAUACAAGUCCCAGUAUAGAAAAAAAAGAUGAAAAAAAAGAUGAAAAAAAAGAUGAAAAGAAAGAUGAAAAAAAAGGUGAAGAAGGGAUAGAAAAAAGGGAAAGAGCUGAAAAUUUACAUCUACAAAAAAUGAAACAACCACUACUUUAUAAUAUUUAUAAACUUAAAAAAUUAAAUAAAAAUAAUAAAAAUAAUAAAAAUAAAUCUUCUGGAUUAACAUCAGAAGAAAUUAGUUGUAAUGUUGAUACAGUAUUAGAAGAAAUGAAUACAAAUUUUAAAUCUUUAUAUGAAUUAAAAAAAAUAUCGAAACAUAAUUAUAUGGUUUAUCAAGCACUUGUAUUUGAUAUACCUUUAAGUAUAUCUUCUGAUUUAUUAGAACAUCCAUAUUUUAAAAAAUUAUUAACUCAUAUGGGAUUUGUAUAUACAGAAAAUGGAGAUAUAUGGACCUUAGAUGAUAGUCUAGAUAAUAAUAUUUUUAAAGCUAUGAUUGAAAAAUUUGAAGAAAUUCAUAGUUUGUCAUUAAAGGAGUUGAAAAAUAGGUUACUGGGUAAGGUAGUAGGGGUAAGUCAAUCCAACGAGGGUGGAAAAAAUGGCGAAAAUGGUGAAAAUGGAGAAAAUGGAGAAAAUGGAGAAAAUGGAGAAAAUGGAGANNNNNNNNNNGAAAAUGGAGAAAAUGGAGAAAAUGGAGAAAAUGGAGAAAAUGGAGAGGAAGGAGAAAUGGAUACAAAAGAGAGAAUCGAUAUACACUCACUACAUAUAGCACCAGUGAAAAAACUAAAAGGAACAUUACUUUUAGUAAAAAUUAUGCUCGAUUUUUUUACAUCAAACAAUAACUAUGAUGAUUGUAGACUUUUUUUUAAUAAUUUAAUGAAUGAAAUUGAGGAAAGAUAUAUAAGUAUUUUUGAAGGUAGUGUAAAGAAUAUGUUAGAUGCAGGUUUAAUUCGAAAUCAGACUACUGAGGAAGAAUUGAAUAAAAACUUUAUUAUUUUUUUAAAUAAAAAAGAUCAAAGUAUAGUAAAAAAAUGUUCAAAUAAAAAAGCGUUAACGAUUUUGUUAAAUUCUCUUGGUAUUUAUAUGCACAAACAAGACAAAUUAAUUAUUUCAAAUAAAAUAUUGGAGAGUGAAAAAAAAAUUAUGGAAAAUAUAAAAGCGAUUAAUACAUAUAAAACAUUAGCUAUACAAGAUCUUGAAAACAUAAUUAAUAAAAAAGAAGAAGAAAUAAAUGAAAAACAGAAAAAAAAAAAAGAAAAAAAACCAGAUGAAAUACAAAAAUUUGAAUUUAUAAAAAGUAUAUGUGAAUAUUUAAAUUUUACAUAUUUACUCGGAACAAUUUCGGUUAUACAUUCACUUCAAAAUAACAAUAAAACUUAUAUUAAUAAAAAUGAAAUAUAUUUUGGUAAUGAUAAAGUACUUAAUUAUAUAUAUGAAAAAAUAAAUUUAUGGAAUAAUAAAAGAGAUAAAAAACAUGAUGAAAGUUGUUUUACUAUAAAAAUGGGUAAUCUAAUUUCUUUAUAUAAUUGUUAUGUACAAGAAAAAGACAGUUCUAUUAAUGAUAAUAAUAACUUAAACAAAUCAAAGGAAGUUAUUCAAAAUGAGUCAAACAAUCAAACAGACAUAAGUAAUAACAUAAAUAAUAACAUAACUAAUGAUAAAAUUUAUCCAUUUAUUAUAAACAUAUGUAUAGCACUAAAAGGUGUAGAAGAGGAGGGAAAUGAAGAGGAGGGAAAAAAUAAACAAAUUUUAUGGAAAGGAAGUGAUAUACAAAAAGAUUGGUUAAAAGUAAUGUUAAAAUUAUUUUAUAAUAUAAUAUUUGAUAGUGCUUAUAACACCUUAGGAAAUUUAUUUAAAGAGUAUACAAAUAUAAAAGACAUUUUAAAAAUUAAAACUCCUGAUUUUUUGAGUGAAUAUCCUCCAACUAUAAAUAGCGAAACAGUUACAACCGAAGCAGCUACUACCAAACCAUAUAACAUACAACAGAUGCAUAAUGAACUAAGUCCCAAUAAAAUAAAAAAAGAAAAUCUCAACAAUUUAAACAUAUCACAAGACAUUGAUAAAAUAAAACAAAAUAAUAACAACGAUGAAACGAAUAGUACUGUAAGUAGCAUAAAUAUAACAAAUGGAAUUUCUCAAAAAAGAAAUUUCAAUCAAAUUAUGCCUGAACAUAAAGAAGAUUAUAUGAAAUAUUUUAAAAAAAGAAAACUUGAAAAUUCGUACAUAAAUACUUAUAAAAAAAAUAGAAAUAAUAUUAUUAAAUCUUUAUUGGAGAAUAAAAAUGUUGUACAGUAUAAUGAGAGUGAUAUUAUUAACCAGGUCAAGCAGGUGUUUAUCAAGGCUCGACAAAUGGCGACAAGCGGGGACUUAAGAACUAGGUGGAAAUCUAGAGGCGACGUGAAAAAAAUCUUACUACUAUGAACCAUAAACCAAACUUAAACCAAACUUAAACCAAACUUAAAGUAAUAUGGAACAUACAUAUAUGCACAUAUUGCAUAUUUUAAUUAUAACGUAUUAUGGAUUCAUUUGCUUUACCACAGUUACGUUUUUAUUUUAUAACAUUCUACUUUUUUUUUUUUUUUUUUUUUUUUUUUUUGUAGUCCAUUUUUUAAAGUUUUUAUUUAUGCACUUCUACAUUAACGUUUUUCUUUUUUUUUUUNNNNNNNNNNNNNNNNNNNNNNNNNNNNNNNNNNNNNNNNNNNNNNNNNNNNNNNNNNNNNNNNNNNNNNNNNNNNNNNNNNNNNNNNNNNNNNNNNNNNAAAAAAAAAAAAAAAAAAAAAAAAAAAAAAAAAAAAAAAAAAGUGUAUAGUGCAUAUUUUAUUAGCACUAUAGAACCAAAUAAAACACAGCAUCUAAAAGUUUACA
ensembl:lncRNA